CUGGAAAUUCCCGAGUUAAUGUGCUGUUCAGUGGGUUGCAUUAAAGGAAACAGCUUGAGAUAUGACAUGAGUUCGUUAUAUUUUAUAAUAUAAUUUUUAAGGUUUGGUUUAUGCAGAACGGAUGACUAAUGUAGACUACGCAUUAGAAAACAGUCACUUCCUUUCAACUGCUGGGAAAUUCCUGUAAAGGACGCGGCGAUUAUAGUCCUGCUAAAUCGGAGGAUCGGAGAGCAGGCGGGCGGCAGCUUUCACUGCAUCUGAGAGCAGCGGGCGGCAGCUUUAAAGGUUUCUUCUCUCUUUGUGUCCGCGGAUGACGGCGUCCUCACAAGAAAUGGCUACGUUACUGAAGCUGUAUGCUAUUGGCACAGUGCUGUCGCUGGCGGCCGCGAUCAUCGGCUUGGUUGACUCCGUGGGAGGCCUAAUGUAUGUUCAAGGACUAGAUAUGGACAACAACUGGACCAAGAAACCCCCCCCAAAGACUUGUUUACGGCUCAAGGGUGUUGGAUCGUGACGGGGACCCGGGUGUCUAUGCGUCCGGACGCCUGCAAAUGUGCUCACUCAUCAAUCACUGGACAAAUUCUUUAAUAUACUCAUGUGACGAACUUUUAAAUGUGUACAGUAUAGCAGUCUUCAGAAUAUCCGUGAUCAGCUGGGAUAAUUUUUGAUGAUUUCUCACUUCUCACUCUGUUUCACUUUGUGUGCGAUUUAAUAAAGAAUAAAAGUUACAGCCGUGGUAUAAGCUUAA